GUAACGCCUGGGGGGUGCGAACCCACGGCCAGUGCCACAGAAAAUAUACCGCCCGCUGAUUCGUCGGUGGGUAAGGGUGAAAUGGUGCGGUAAGAGCGCACCGCGUGUCUGGCAACAGACAUGGCAGGGUAAACCCCACUCGGAGCAAGACCAAAUAGGGGGACAUAAUGCGUGGUCCGCGCUGUUCCCGGGUAGGUUGCUUGAGGUGUACGGUGACGUAUCAUCCAGAUGAAUGACUGCCCCGGCUCAUUGAGCUACGACAGAACCCGGCUUAUCGGCCAGCUCCCUCU
rnacentral:RNase_P_RNA from 1 species